rnacentral:misc_RNA from 1 species
UCGGGGGCGGCCUGAUCGUCG